rnacentral:tRNA from 1 species
ACUCGGCUCGUCUAUCGGAAGGACAUCUGUCUUUCGAGCAGAAAAGAAUGGUUCAACUCCAUUGCCGAGAG